UACGUAGGGUGCGAGCGUUGUCCGGAAUUACUGGGCGUAAAGAGCUCGUAGGUGGUUUGUCGCGUUGUUCGUGAAAACUCACAGCUCAACUGUGGGCGUGCGGGCGAUACGGGCAGACUGGAGUACUGCAGGGGAGACUGGAAUUCCUGGUGUAGCGGUGGAAUGCGCAGAUAUCCGGAGGAACACCAGUGGCGAAGGCGGCUUUCUGGACCGACACUGACGCUGAGGCGCGAAAGCUAGGGGAGCAAACGGG
rnacentral:rRNA from 1 species